AGCUAACAUAGCUCUUGUAGAAUUUUUCUAGCAAGUUUUCUGGCUUUGUUCAUUCACACUUUGGUCAGAAGACCCAU
ensembl:snRNA